GACGAACGCUGGCGGCGUGCUUAACACAUGCAAGUCGAACGGAAAGGCCCUGCUUUUGUGGGGUGCUCGAGUGGCGAACGGGUGAGUAACACGUGAGUAACCUGCACUUGACUUUGGGGUAACUUCAGGAAACUGGGGCUAAUACAGGAUAGGAGCUCCUGCUGCAUGGUGGGGGUUGGAAAGUUUCGGCGGUUGGGGAUGGACUAGCGGCUUAUCAGCCUGUUGGUGGGGUAGGGGCUUACCAAGGCUUUGACGGGUAGCCGGCAUGAGAGGGUGACCGGCCACAUUGGGACUGAGAUACGGACCAGACUCCUACGGGAGGCAGCAGUGGAGAAUAUUGCACAAUGGGCGGAAGCCUGAUGCAACAACGCCGCGUGCGGGAUGACGGCCUUCGGGUUGUAAACCGCUUUCGCCUGUGACAAAGCGUGAGUGACGGUAAUGGGUAAAGAAGCACCGGCUAACUACGUG
rnacentral:rRNA from 1 species